CGGGUGCGUAACACGUGAGCAACCUGCCCCGAAGACUGGGAUAACACCGGGAAACCGGUGCUAAUACCGGAUACCUUCUUCCGAUCGCAUGGUUGGAUGAAGAAAUGGAUUCCGCUUCGGGAUGGGCUCGCGGCCUAUCAGCUUGUUGGUGAGGUAACGGCCCACCAAGGCGACGACGGGUAGCUGGUCUGAGAGGACGACCAGCCACACUGGGACUGAGACACGGCCCAG
rnacentral:rRNA from 1 species